ACUCGAGUGGCGAACGGGUGAGUAACACGUGGGUGAUCUGCCCUGCACUUCGGGAUAAGCCUGGGAAACUGGGUCUAAUACCGGAUAGGAGCCAUUUUUAGUGUGAUGGUUGGAAAGUUUUUCGGUGUAGGAUGAGCUCGCGGCCUAUCAGCUUGCUGGUGGGGUAAUGGCCUACCAAGGCGGCGACGGGUAGCCGGCCUGAGAGGGUGGACGGCCACAUUGGGACUGAGAUACGGCCCAG
rnacentral:rRNA from 1 species